GACGAACGCUGGCGGCGUGCUUAACACAUGCAAGUCGAACGGAAAGGCCCUGCUUUUGUGGGGUGCUCGAGUGGCGAACGGGUGAGUAACACGUGAGUAACCUGCCCUUGACUUUGGGAUAACUUCAGGAAACUUGGGCUAAUACCUGAUAGGAUCUCCUGCUGCAUGGUUGGGGUUGGAAAGUUUCGGCGGUUGGGGAUGGACUCGCGGCUUAUCAGCUUGUUUGUGGGGUAGUGGCUUACCAAGGCUUUGACGGGUAGCCGGCCUGAGAGGGUGACCGGCAACAUUGGGACUGAGAUACGGCCCAGACUCCUACGGGAGGCAGCAGUGGGGAAUAUUGCACAAUGGGCGGAAGCCUGAUGCAGCAACGCCGCGUGCGGGAUGACGGCCUUCGGGUUGUAAACCGCUUUCGCAUGUGACGAAGCGUGAGUGACGGUAAUGGGUAAAGAAGCACCGGCUAACUACGUG
rnacentral:rRNA from 1 species